CUGGAAAUGAAUCUCCAGGGCUUCACGCAUCAGCUCCUCACACAAGACAUCUGGAAUUCCUGACAGCAGGACAGUCUGAGCACAGGCAGAAGGGCGGAACUGGGAUGGAGAGAAAAAGAUCGCAGACUUCUCCGCUUACACGGUGUGAAACCUUGAUUGUGUAGGUCUCCUUUCCAAUGGGCACCUGGAACUGACCUCUUCGGACAAGAUGCUCAGCCACUGGUGAAAAAAUUGGGUUGAGGAAAAGAACCAUGUCUCAAAUCUAUCUGUCAGAGCUUGGGCAACUUCUUUUUCUAAAGAUUAUUGUAAAUUGUCCAAAACCUUUUAAACUUUUACAGCCUCUC